AUUAACUAAUUUCGAAAUGGAACUCAGAAUUUUGUACUAUCUAACGCUAAACAUAUCAAGAAUUAGAUACACGACUCAUUAAAUACCAAAACAACUGCUUAAAUGGUCACAACAACGGGGGUAGUAGCUUUGGAUGGUUCGCAACUAGUUUGUCUAAGACUAGUUUACUCACUUAAAGACUGGGGGUUAGCUAUGGUUGAUAGGCUCCAAGAAAUGGUGUUCAGAAAACUCAUAAAAG
rnacentral:lncRNA from 1 species